ACGAACGCUGGCGGCGUGCCUAACACAUGCAAGUCAACUUGACUGAAGGAGCAAUCUGACAGUAGAGUGGCGCAAGGGUGCGUAACGCGUAAGUAACUUGCCCAAGGUAAGGAAUAACGUCGAGAAAUCGGCGCUAAUACCUCAUCAUGCAGCGGAUCCGCAUGGAUAUGUUGUUAAAGGUUUACCGCCUUGGGAUAGGCUUGCGUCUGAUUAGUUAGUUGGUGUGGUAACGGCACACCAAGGCUACGAUCAGUAACUGGUCUGAGAGGAUGAUCAGUCACACUGGAACUGAGACACGGUCCAGACUCCUACGGGAGGCAGCAGUGAGGAAUAUUGGGCAAUGCUCGAAAGAGUGACCCAGCAACGCCGCGUGGAGGAUGAAGGUAUUCUAUAUCGUAAACUCCUGUGAGAGCAGACGAAAGACAGAUUAUUAAUCUGGAUGACUGUAUGCUCAGAGGAAGCCCCGGCUAACUACG
rnacentral:rRNA from 1 species